rnacentral:lncRNA from 1 species
CCCAGGGUAACCUUUCGGACACACGAUGCCUCGGUGCAGAGGAAAAGCACCUGCUUCUUUUCAGCCAUUGGGCUGUUCUACCGAGAGCUGGGUGCACAGGUGGUUUCCAGCACCUACUCUCACGUACAAAUUAUAGCUCUUGUGUCAAAACAAGCUUUAUUCUUCUAUUUCCUGUUUGAAAAGUGAGAUUACAGUUCAGAAGGAGGGGUCCCUGCUGUGCUGGUGGUGGGAUUGGGCCACACUGGUUUCCCAGGAGAUUUGCAGAGGCGCCACCUCUGUUUGUCAUGUGUAGUUUAUCAGGGUGCUCCUCCUCCCCUGUUCUGGACCUGCCCAGAGGAUCCUCAAACAUCUGGAGGGCAGUGAAAUGAUACCCAUUUGCCAUCCCUGGUCUACUAUCAUAACGAACCUUGGAGCCUUCUGGAAGGGAACUCAUGCUUAACAGGGUGCAAAGGCUACAUUUUGGUUAAGAACCUGAGCUGGUGUUGGAGGGAGAUGUGACCCUGCUCCCAGGGCCAGGGAGAGCAAGCUGCUUAGGGUCCCCAGUCUCUGCUGCAGACAUCAGCCCCUGCCUCAGGCAGAAGCAGCCCUGGACAGGGUGUCAGUGGACACCAGCACCUGCUCGGGCAACAAUGGCGGCUACCUGCGGCGUGUUUGCACUGGGGCCCUAGACAGCAGGCCUCUGGAGCUUUGGCACAGCCCUCGUUGGGCACUUGCCGAGGUGGGGGUGCCUCUGGUGGGUGUGGCAUUGGCAGCAUCAGAAGAUUCAUCUACAAUGAACUACAGCAAGAGAGGAGGGAUGUAGUGGAACGAAUCACCUCUUAUGAAGCCCCUGAUCUCAUCCUAGAGACUCCAAAGACUACUGGGGAGAAAUGUGAAAGAACGGCAUUCUCAAAAGGAAGGAGGAAAACAAUUCUUUCUGCCUGCACUGCCUUUCCUGUCGGUCCUCCAGCCAAUUUCCAUGACGGAAUGGAAAGUAUUUCAAGGACAACUCCGCUAACCACCCACCGACGUGGGCGAAUGCCUCUCUCAGGGCCACCAUGCUUCUGGAUUCCAAAAGAUUCAGGUGGACCUGCACGCAUCCCUCUGCCAUGCACUUCUCCCAGAUCGGUAGCUGUUUACUGUCUGGGACCCCACGAGACUGUGGACACCUCUGUUUCUCAAAGUGUGGACCCCGGACCACCAGCAGCAGCAGCACCUGAGAACGGGUUGGAAAUGCAAAUUCUUGAGCCCCAUCCCAGAUCCAUUAAAUCAGAAACUCAGCAUUCUAUGUGGUCACAAUCCCUUCGGGGGAGUCUCAUAUAUGCAAAGGUUCGAGAACCAUUGAUGAAGGGUAAAGUAACUUAACUUCUCCGAGCCUCAUCUGCAAAUGGUAGUAAUUAUAUCUUCCUCACGUUAAUUGUUGUGAGUAUUUGAUAAGACAGCACAAAGAGUGAAAUAAUGGUGGCUAGGGACAGAUCUAUUGAUACAGAAAUAUAAGUUAUAAUAAAAAGCAUCAGGGCUACUCCGUUCCCUUCU